UAUGUUUGGUGUGAGAGUGAGAUUGAAUGUGAUGUGUGGAGAGAUGUGUGCUUGAAUGUUUGUAUAAUUCUUAAAAAUCUACACCGUGAUCUUAUUUGAUCCAAUCGGAAUUCUGCCCUCGUCCGAUUCGGAAAUGAUAAAAUCCGAUAUGCGAGCCAGCUUGGCGAUGUGCAUGAGGCAUCUCACAAACUUUGGGGCAUACACAAGAAAUUGUGGUUUGAAGUGAUGAAUUGAUCAGAUAUACUAGUUCGGACGAGGCGUUGGGUUUUAACCCUUGCUUUCGCCCGGACAAUGAGUAUAGAGGCGAUUCUGAUCCUA